CGCAGGUAUUGCACGGUGGCUGGACAUUAUUCCAGACAGCUGUGAUGGUCUAAGUACUUCUGAAGCAGGGUUUGCUUCCGGUACUUGUAAUAGACUUUACCAACCAGACUGAUCUGGUUGAGUACGACAAUAAUAAUACGACCGUGUUACCUGCUGUUUUGGCUAGUGCAGGUUCCUGCAAGAAAAAUUAAGGGUGUGGUCAAGAAAUCACAAGACAUUUGUUUCGUUCAAUAUACGUAUUGUUUUAGGCAAUGGUUACAAGGAGAGUCUAUUUGCUUGCUGUAGAAAGUGCAUACAGAAGCAAACUGUCGUCUGUUCAUCUUUGCGCAUGCCGCAGGGUGUUUACACCUCAAGAUCUUGAAAGAUCCUGGAAGACCACCGCAGCUGCCAAGAUCUUGGUUUGAUUUUGUAGUAUAUGUAGACGGUAGAAGGUAGUUUUAGUUUGUAUUCUUGUACUGACUUAUUUCUAGGUUUUUUGUGAUUUAGCUCACUUGGUUGACACAAGUUGUUCCGCAAUUUCGUGCCACAUAGAACCCAAGAUCUCUGUCAACUUUACUGAAAUUUACUCUUGAGUUAACAGAUGCCAUCAAGAAAUGCUCAAGGUCUAAGAACAGCAAGAUAUUCCAAGUUCUUACCAAGAGUGUAUACAAGCAUUGAUUUAUACUUUUCAACUGUAACAGCUAUGGCCUGUAUAUUCUACCUAUGUGUAGUGAAGACAAAUGUAUGAUGUAUAGACUUACAUGCUGUUGCUCAUGUAGAUAGUCUGGCAUUUUUACUGUUCUAAAAAUUUUAUAGCACGUAUAUAUUGCAGCUAGAUACUACUAGUGAAGUUGUAGCGUUAAAUUAUUAAUAUCAAGUAUCCUACCUUUU